UGAUCUGUACGUGUUGGUCGACAUUAAAAUCAUCUUUGAAUACUUUUCUAAUCUCGUCUCUGGUUGAAAUAAACAUAUAUUUAAAAUACAGUAUCCGUCUGUAAUAUUCAUUAUUUUUAUAAAAAAAAAAUUAUUUGUAAAGUCAAAUUUUAAUGACUAAACGGUUAGGUUGCAAAAAAAAAACAAAAAAAUAAAAAAACGAAAAAACAAAACAAAACAAAAUGAAAGGGCGAAAGGGUGGCGGUUUUAUCGCACCGGCUCCCACGCUCGCUGUUUUCCCACGCCCACAGAGAGAGAAGCUGUGGGGCGUUGGGGAGAAGAAGAGAAGAUGAAGAAGAGGAAGAAGAAAAAAAGAGGAAGAGUGGCAGCGGCAAAGGCUGCAGCGAGGAGGUGUGGGGCGUCGAGAAGGAGAAGGGAAGAAGAAGAGAAGAAGCGGAAGAAGAGAAGAAAAGAAGAAGAAGGAGAAGAGAGGGAAGAUGUAGAGGAGAAAGAGGUGGCAGCAGCUAGGGCUGCAACACCUCUGUUUCCCGCAGGAGGAAACAGAGGAGAGGAUGUGUGUGGCGUUGGGGAGGAGAAGGGAAGAAGAGGAGAAGAAGAGAAGAAGAGGGAAGAGGUGGCUGCGGCACCUCUGUUUCCCGCAGGAGGAAACAGAGGAGAGGAGGCGCUGUGCGUCGGGGAGGAAAGGGGAAGAAGAGGAGAAGAAGAGAAGGAAAAAAAGAAGAGGCUGGGGCUGCGGCGGUGGCAGCUGCAGCUGGAAGAGAAGUAGGAGAGGAAGAAAAGAAGGUGAGGUAGAAGAGAGGAAGGAGAGCUGCGGCUGCGGCUGUGGCAGGGAAAGAGGAAGAGGAAGGAAGAAGGGAAGGAGAGGAAGAAGAGAAGGGGAAGAAGGGGUUGUGGCUGCGGCGAUGGCAGCUGCAGCUGGAAGAGAAGAAGGAGAGGAAGAAAAGCAAGGGAGGAAGAAAGGGGCUGCGGCAGCUGUGUUUCGGGAAAGAAAAAGAAGGAACGAGAGAAGGGUUGAAGGAAGUAGUACAUGAAAGGGGAUGCGGCGGUGGCUGCGGCUGCGAUCAUGGCUGCGGUUGCAGCUGCAACUGUGGUAGUGGCAGCAGUGGCCGGAAAAAAAAGAAGGCAGAUGUAGAAAAUGAAAUAGGGAGAGGAUACAAAGGAAAAAUAGAAGAAGGAUUUGGGCGUACACCUUCUUCGGAUCUUUGGAUCAAAACCUUCAAAAGGUCAACUUGUCACACUCUGAGAUAUUUGUAUUGUGCUGAGGCAGUGGAGAGCUAUUCAGAAUUGUGGGCAAAUCUUGUUGGUUGAUAUGUUAUUAUUGUAUAAGUGCAUUUUAUAUGAAAUGAAAUGAAAUGUUGUCAAUGAAUCUGAAUUGAUACAUUGUGUAAAAGUGUUAAAAAAAUCUCUCUUAUUUAGACUUUCGGAAUGUUAAGUUUAGUUUACAAUGAUGUGAAUUGGUGGUAAAUGGUUAGAGUCUUGAUUGUAUAAAUUAUUUAGCUUGUGGAUUUGUAAGUGUUGUUAAUGUUUUGUU